GCCCUGGGUAGCCGCAUUUCCCAUUCCUGUCCCAGAAUCUUACACAGGGCAGGGAAAGAGGGUGGAGAGUGACCAGAGCCAGUUCAGAGCUCCCCAGGCCCCCAUGCACCUUUGGCCAUGUCCAUUCACAUCCGGCUUCCACAGCCUUACCCGACGCCCUUGCAGUGCCCGGUUCCCUGAGGCAGAAGGGGAUCCCAGCACACACAGAAGUGGUUCUGGUGUUUGCCCCCUUCUAGAUUUGGAUCACGACUUACAUGACUUGGAAGUCCUGGUUAAUGACACUUUGAAUGGCUUGGAGAAUGCUGGAGGCAAGUUCUGCAUUUCCAUUUUUACUGGCAGAAUAAUCAGUGUCCAUGUGGAUAAAGCUCACUCAUGGGCCAUUUUUGUUAAGGUUAAGUCAGAGUGGAAAGAUUCUAAAAACUUUGCCCUGUUCCCUUCUGGAGCCCUGAGGGAUCCCACUGGAUCACUGUCAGUGGGAGGAAGGAGCAUUUAGCUGUCCAUCUUCCUCCUGUGUGCAAUGCCAGUGUGUCCUUCCGUGUGCUCUGUGCAGCCACAGAGAGGAGCAGAGAGGGAAGGGGCCAGGCCCAGGGCUGUGCCCCAGGGCUGAGCCUUGUGGGCAGCCUGAGGAUCUCCUGCAGUGCCACAGGAGCUCUUCUGUCCUGCCUUUCUUUGCAGCUGAACCUGCUGGUGAAGGUGGUGCAGCUUCCCAGCUCAUGUCCAUUACUGAGCCUCUGGGCAAUGCUGAGGGUGUGUCUGCAGGGAGGACUUUCCCAGGUCCUUUGGUGGAUGUUGCAUGCAAGCCCAGCUCCCAUGGCAGGGGUCCUCCAAGACGGAAGAAGAAACCUACAGGAGCUUGUACAUCCCUGGAGGAAUCCAAAUAUCUGAAAAAACUCCUGAGUGAUGUGGACAGCCAGCGUGAUGCAGCCAGCACCUCAACACAUUCUGACAUCAUCUGGAAAAGCAUGAGAAGAGUUUUCUGCUGGGGAACACCUUGUUUGAUUAAGUUGAUGGCCGUUGUGGCUGGUGCGGCACUGUGCCUGAUGAUGUGCUGUGCAGGAAUCUGGUAUUGCUGGACGAGAAAAUGACACCACCUUGAAGAAAAGCUGAAAGCUGGUGGCUGGUCACGAGACCUCUACAGCCAAAAGAGCUAUAGCAGCAGUUCUGAGUCCGAUUAUGAGUCUGAUGAGUGUAUAUUUGCCCCUCCAACCCCUGUGGUGCUUGGAGGCGACAGGCCCAGCACUCCAUGCAGGGCUGAAGGUGGGCAGCCCUAGAACAGGAUUUAGAAGUGCUCAAGUUAGCACUCUUGGAGAGCUUCCAAAAUCACCUCUUCCCUUUCAAUAAAGAGAUGGAGCUGUCACCCCAGUCUCUGAUGGCAGUAGCAG